UUUCGGUCACUAACUGGAGCAAUGUUAUGGCUGAUUGCUAGCCGUAUCCUUGCUGCUGAGUCGCCCCACAAUGUCUUCGACCGCAGAGCUUUGCUUCUGUCCAUGCCUUGCAGUCCAUCAUUGCCAUUGUAAUUGCCGUGGUAAACCUACCUUGCCAUACAGCCAUACGUUAGCGAUAUGGAUUGAUGUACCGAUAGAGCUAUUAUCCACUGCGUUUUGUUAAAAAUCGGAUCACCUCAUACCGGUGGCUUGUUUCUGGUCCAACUGAUUUUUAGAGUUGACUGUAUGUUCAGAUUUCCUUCACCCCUUUGUUUUUUGUGUUCAGAAUUUUGCGCAUCUUCUUAAACCGAAUCAUGGGAAAGCUAAGCUGUUCAAAGUCCAGUCGUCAUGGGGUCAAUACUUUGUCACAAAAUCGUUACAUGUUACCUGCUUCGCCAUUCCUGUCCUGUCCUUUGGUUAUUGAUUACUCCACCUUCGUCAAUUUCAUUGUCCAGAAGCAGGUAAUAAAUCUGAGAACAACCACUGAAAUGAUAUUUUAUUUGUGUUGUCUACUUCCUGCUUUAUUCUCUGUGCAUGACAUAUUCUACUUCACACGUGCUGUCGAGGGAAAUCAUGGUCGACAAUCAAUAUGAAGUGAGCAAGUUAUAUUUACUCUCUGUCAUUAGUUGAUAAGCUUUUGGGUAUGACAAUCAAGGAAUGAAACCAGUUAGUAGCUUGCUCAGAAUUAGUAAAUGAGGAUUUAUUUCUUUCUUGGAAGUGUCAAUGUCAUUGCUUUGUCUCUGAUCGUGGAAAGAGUUUAUUGUUCUUUUUGAACUUGCAUAAAAAUCGAUGGAAUGCUAAUGAAGCAGUGGGAUACCCGAAAUUUACAAGUUUUAUGAAUUGGUGUGUCCUGUUUUUGCAUAUGCUGUAGUUUAGCGGUUAUUGUUCAUCUAUGUUUGCUGAACCGUUUGAUUUAUCACUUUCAAUUAACAAGAUUUUGAUAAAGACACGUGACAGUUGUGAGAGAUGCAUUGAAACUGGCACUUUGGUGAUGACAGUGCUCCUUCGUGUCACACUAUGUACUUGUUUUUAGGAAAAAUCAUUUAUGAUGUUGGAGAAGUGAAUAUGUGUUGAAGGUGCCAACCCCUCGUGAUCUUGGACCCACUCGUUGAAGAAAUGGAGAGGUAUAAACGUAAUUACUUUCCUUCUCUUCGCAACAAUUCUGCCAUUCCCAUAGAAGUUCCAAGAGUACAAUGAGGUCACUUAAAAAUAAGAAAACAGAAAAUGGAGAAACAUUUUGAAUCGGAAGCAACUAAACUAGUGUUCUAUUAUGGUUUUCUCCUAAAAUAUGUGGUGCUUAGAAUCAUUGAGAGAGAGAGAGAGAGAGAGAGCUUUCCGGAGUAAUGCUUACAACCGUGGCUGAUCAGUCAAAUAGCACAUUGGACAAUGUACAAGACUAUGUUAAGCAGGGAGAAUUAAGAUAGGUAUCCGCGUGCUUUAGUUUCUUUGCGCUUCCAGCUGAGUUGAAGCUAGAUGUAUAUAGGCGGCAUGCAUCUAUGAAACAGAAUAUCUACAGUGUCAGAGUAAACGAGGUAAGUCUGAUAAUUAUAAUGGAGGUAAUAUACAUUUUGCAGGCCCAGUAAUGGACAUGUGACGUUUGGCCAACCAAAUGAACAUAUGAAGCACAAAACCAGAAACAAAUUCUUUCAUUGUCUCACUUGUCAGCACCGGUAAAAGCAUCACGCACCUGCAAACUUCAAACAU
rnacentral:lncRNA from 1 species